GGAAAGGGCUGAGGCCCGUAAGACAUUUUCGGUCAUGGGAGGAUUGGCGAAAAAAUCUUUCAAUUUUACCAUAAAGUAUAUAAGAUGACGAUGAUGAUUAAAUGAAAUCUUUUGCCAACUCCUCCCAUGCCGAUGAUUUCUUAUGGUUUCAAUUCUUUCCAAU
rnacentral:pre_miRNA from 1 species